rfam:Caenorhabditis brenneri strain PB2801 C_brenneri-6.0.1_Cont1787.3, whole genome shotgun sequence.
CCAACGGCCCUCUUUAGGGCCACAAAUACCUAAAUAAUCCGAAACU